rnacentral:rRNA from 1 species
GAUGAACGCUGGCGGCGUGCCUAAUACAUGCAAGUCGAGCGAACAGACGAGGAGCUUGCUCCUCUGACGUUAGCGGCGGACGGGUGAGUAACACGUGGAUAACCUACCUAUAAGACUGGGAUAACUUCGGGAAACCGGAGCUAAUACCGGAUAAUAUAUUGAACCGCAUGGUUCAAUAGUGAAAGACGGUUUUGCUGUCACUUAUAGAUGGAUCCGCGCCGCAUUAGCUAGUUGGUAAGUUAACGGCUUACCAAGGCAACGAUGCGUAGCCGACCUGAGAGGGUGAUCGGCCACACUGGAACUGAGCCAGGGUCCAGACUCCUACGGGAGGCAGCAGUAGGGAAUCUUCCGCAAUGGGCGAAAGCCUGACGGAGCAACGCCGCGUGAGUGAUGAAGGUCUUCGGAUCGUAAAACUCUGUUAUUAGGGAAGAACAAAUGUGUAAGUAACUAUGCACGUCUUGACGGUACCUAAUCAGAAAGCCACGGCUAACUACGUG